rnacentral:rRNA from 1 species
UAAAAUUUAUUUAUUAGAUUUAUUAGUUUUGAAUUUAAGUUAUUAAAAAUAAUUAUUAUUUUUAUUGUUUUAGUAGUUUUUAACGAAAUUAUAUUUUUAAUGAUAGUUUAUUAGUAUUGUAAAAGAAUAUUGAAAUAUAAAUAAUAAUUUUUAGUAAAAAGAAUAUUUAAUUUAUAGUACCUUGUGUGUCAGGGUUUAUUAAUUAAAAAAUAAUUAUACUAUUUUUCUCGAUUUUAAAAGAUUUAAUAAAUUAUAAAAGUUAAUGUUACAAAAUUAUUUUAAAUGAUUUAUUAGAAAUGAAAUGUUAUUCGUUUUUAAAGGUAUCUAGUUUUUUAAGAAAUAAAUUUAAUUUAUAAUUUUAAUAGUAUUGUUUUUAUUUUAAAAUAUAAUAUUUUUAAAAUUUACUGUUUUAUGGGAUAAGCUAUUGAACAGAUUUUUAUAAAUUUAAUUUAAUAAAUAUAAUGUAUGCUUAAAAUUAGCAAUCAUAAAUAAAUAUGUUGUAAUUUAUUUUGUAUAAAGUAAUUAUUUAAUUAAUUUUAAGUUUAUAUUAAAAGAUUAAUUAUAAUUUUAAUAAUUAAUUUAUAAUGAUAAAAUUAGUAUAUAAGUAUAAGUUGUAAAAAUAAAUAAUAUUUGAAAAGUUUAUUUAAAGAAUUAGGCAAAUAUAAUGUUCGCCUGUUUAACAAAAACAUGUCUUUUUGAGUUAAUUUUAAAGUUUAACCUGCCCACUGAAUUUUUAAAUGGCCGCAGUAUAUUAACUGUGCAAAGGUAGCAUAAUAAUUAGUCUUUUAAUUGGAGGCUGGAAUGAAUGGUUGGACGAGACAUUUACUGUUUCAAAUAAAUUUAUUAUAGAAUUUUAUUUUUUAGUUAAAAAGCUAAAAUAUAUUUAAUAGACGAGAAGACCCUAUAAAUCUUUAUAUAACUUUUAUUAUAUUUAUUUAGAUAAUUUUAAUUAUAAUGUUUUGUUAUAUUUUAUUGGGGAGAUAUUAAAAUUUAAUAAACUUUUAAUUUUUUAUUACAUUAAUUUAUGAAUUUUUGAUCCAUUAUUAUUGAUUAUAAAAUUAAGUUACUUUAGGGAUAACAGCGUAAUUUUUUUGGAUAGUUCUUAUUGAUAAAAAAGAUUGCGACCUCGAUGUUGGAUUAAGAUAUAGUAUAAGGUGCAGUAGCUUUAUACUUAAGUCUGUUCGACUUUUAUUUCUUACAUGAUCUGAGUUCAAACCGGUGUAAGCCAGGUUGGUUUCUAUCUUUAAAUUAUGAAAAAUUAUAGUACGAAAGGAUUUAAUUUUUAAUUUAAAAUUUUAAUAAGAAUAUUAUUAAUAUAA